rnacentral:rRNA from 1 species
UGGGGAAUCUUGCGCAAUGGACGAAAGUCUGACGCAGCGACGCCGCGUGGGUGAUGAAGGCCUUCGGGUUGUAAAGCCCUGUGGGGAGGGAAGAAUAAGGGGCGGUAAAUAAUCGCUCUGAUGACGGUACCUCCUUAGCAAGCACCGGCUAACUCUGUGCCAGCAGCCGCGGUAAGACAGAGGGUGCAAACGUUGUUCGGAAUUACUGGGCGUAAAGCGCGUGUAGGCGGUUUCGCAAGUCGGGUGUGAAAUCCCUCGGCUCAACCGGGGAAGUGCAUUCGAAACUGCGAGACUAGAGUUCCGGAGAGGAUGGUGGAAUUCUCGGUGUAGAGGUGAAAUUCGUAGAUAUCGAGAGGAACACCGGUGGCGAAGGCGGCCAUCUGGAAGGAAACUGACGCUGAGACGCGAAAGCAUGGGGAGCAAACAGG